rnacentral:rRNA from 1 species
AGGACGAACGCUGGCGGCGUGCCUAAUGCAUGCAAGUCGAGCGACGCAUAUCGGAGGGGUAACCCACUGGUAUGACGGAGCGGCGAACGGGUGAGUAACACGUGAGUAACCUGCCCCACAGAUCGGGAUAGCCCAGGGAAACCUGGAUUAAUACCGGAUAUUCUCUUCUAACUUCAUGGUCUGAAGAGGAAAUGCCUUUGUGCUGUGGGAUGGACUCGCGGCUUAUCAGCUAGUUGGUGGGGUAACGGCCUACCAAGGCUUCGACGGGUA